AUAUUGGACAAUGGGCGAAAGCCUGAUGCAGCCAUGCCGCGUGUAUGAAGAAGGCCUUCGGGUUGUAAAGUACUUUCAGCGGGGAGGAAGGCGAUAAGGUUAAUAACCUUGUCGAUUGACGUUACCCGCAGAAGAAGCACAGGCUAACUACGUGCCAGCAGCCGCGGUAAUACGGAGGGUGCAAGCGUUAAUCGGAAUUACUGGGCGUAAAGCGCACGCAGGCGGUCUGUCAAGUCGGAUGUGAAAUCCCCGGGCUCAACCUGGGAACUGCAUUCGAAACUGGCAGGCUGGAGUCUUGUAGAGGGGGGUACAAUACCAGGUGUAGCGGUGAGAUGCGUAGAGAUCUGGAGGAAUACCGGUGGCGAAGGCGGCCCCCUGGACAAAGACUGACGCUCAGGUGCGAAAGCGUGGGGAGCAAAC
rnacentral:rRNA from 1 species